CCAAAGCAAAGCAGGAAUGCUGUGUAAACCAGCCUUCUGGUGAGGCUGUGUUGUUUCUAACUCAACAGCAACAGUGCUGGGCUGCUUGGGUUAUCUGCCCAUACAGUUCCUACAGGGAAGUUGGAUCACCAUGAUGGCCUUGCUGGCGUAACAUCUUACAUUUCCCCAGGAUGUGGAGCCUGAAGAAGAGCUGGCUGUGAAGCUGUGUCCAGCUGCACCAGGCAAGACACCCCAUCUGAUUCUUUCUCGUGGUUCAAAGAGGGUAAAAUAAGUUGGAAAUUAGUCCAGCAAAGUCAUGGAAGCUGUGAAGAGGAAAUGUUGACAUUUCAGCAGAAACUUCAAAAUGCAGCUGCUUUGCUUCAGAGGAGCAGCCACAACGCGACUCAGGUUUCCUCUGCAGUUCAGCUCAGCCUCCUGCCUGGAUUCAGUCAGAUGCUGUGUCCUGCUCCUCCUCACUGAACAGGCAGUGGUGGCUCUGCCCAAACAACCUGAAGGCACCCAGGCAAUGCUUUGUCCAGAGGGUCUGUGCCUCCUGCAGCCGUGGGGCAUCAUCCUGCACAGAAAUUCAGAGAAUGGUGCUCCUGGGUGGACUUGAGAGCCUGCUCCUGUCCCAGCAGGUUAGAGCUGACAGUGCAGGAGAUUGUGCUCUGGCUCUGGAGUCUGCUGAAUGCCAAGGUUGUGCUUCCCUCUGGUUCACCUUGUACCACAGCCCAGAUGAAAAGUCUGGACAUGUCACUCCCCUCCUGACCUCUAGAUUAGAAACACAUUAA